rnacentral:lncRNA from 1 species
AGAGAGUUCUCUACCCCUGCUCCCACCAUCUAAAGAUACAAAAAGAAGUCAGUAGUCUGCAGCUUGGAAGAGGUCCCUCACCAGAGGCCAACUCUACUGGCACCCUCAUUGGAAACUUCCAGCUUCCAGAGCUUGGAGGACUCCAGUGCCCUAGAUGAUGGCAGAGCCACUUCAUGGGAGAAGUCUGGAUCCAUGGAUGACCAUCAACCAGAGGCUCCCCUCUCCUCUUCCCUGCAUUGGACUGUGCCAUGAAGCAUAAAUAAACUUUAAUUGUGUAUUAAAAAUAUGAGAGGAGUUAUUUUUUUCUUAAAUGGCAGUUAGCAUAGCCUGACUAAAACAGAAAUCUUACAAAACUAGUAAAACAUAAAUUGAAUUUUCUUCUGGAGUACACCCUUGAGAUAAAAUAGAAAAACACUCCCAUCUCUGGUGAGUAAUUUUAUGAA